CUAUCCUCAAGCUCCGCUUGGUAUUGGGAGGCAAGCCUCAUCCCCUCGGGGAGAGGCUCCCCCGAAAAUUAGCGGCGGAUCGGUCGGGGUCCCAGCGCAGUGACUAUUUUUCUCGCUGAUUGGAUCCUCGGGCGGCUCCUGCCGGGCUAAAAACCCAUUAUUUCUUUCAA
rnacentral:misc_RNA from 1 species